UGCAUUUGUAUAGGUAGUGACUAGAUGUC
rnacentral:piRNA from 1 species